rnacentral:rRNA from 1 species
CUUGGUCAUUUAGAGGAAGUAAAAGUCGUAACAAGGUUUCCGUAGGUGAACCUGCGGAAGGAUCAUUAUCGAGUUCUUUGAAGUGGGUCUUUCUGAUGCUGGCGCCUCUGUGGUGCAUGUGCUCGGGACCCCGCUCAUCCACUCAACCCCUGUGCACUUUUCGAAGUCUGUCGUCGGCUCCCAUUUGGAGCAGCUGGAGGUUUGGCCCUUAGUUGAGCCAUUCUCUUUGGCCGGGUCGUCGACGCUUCGUAUUAUUACAAACAACUUAUAAGUCUUGUAGAAUGUGAAGCCUCAUUGUGGGCGAAACUUAAUACAACUUUCAACAACGGAUCUCUUGGCUCUCGCAUCGAUGAAGAACGCAGCGAAAUGCGAUAAGUAAUGUGAAUUGCAGAAUUCAGUGAAUCAUCGAAUCUUUGAACGCACCUUGCGCUCCUUGGUAUUCCGAGGAGCAUGCCUGUUUGAGUGUCAUGUUAAUCUCAAUCCCUUUGUCUUUAUUGUACGUUGGGAUUGGACUUGGAGGUAUUUGCUGGCCCUUUUUUGGGUCGGCUCCUCUUGAAUGCAUUAGCUUGGGCUUUCGCUCGAUGCAACGGUGUGAUAGUAUUAUUCGCCGAGGCAACUUGCGGUAUGAGUCUGCUUCUAAUCGUCUUCGGACAAGCAUGGGUGUAUUUUUUAAUAUGCUCUUUUGACU